ACAGUCUCAGGAAGAUGGAUGUUCUUUAUCAUCUUUCAGUCUUCGGAGGAAUUUGUUAAUGGCUUUGCGACAAUGGUUCAUCUCAGAUAUGGUUUAAAGAUGACAUCGUUAGGAGGAGGAAUAGCCAGAAGGGUUUUGGUUGCCAUUUGAGAUUGCACCUGCGUCUUGUGAAAGUCACAUUGCACCUCUCAGGAGUAAUGCUGAAUCCUUAAGGUGGCACUGUGUGUACCAGCACUGAUGUUCUGCAAGGACUAGAAGAAACUUCUGAGGGAAGCACACUGGUCAAGGCUGCCAUGUAUGGAACUGUGAGUAUGAAGACAGACCAGGGCACCAGACCACCUGCAAUAGCAAUGAUCAGUUCCAUGGAGAAAGCUUGGAGAAAGCUGUUCCAUAGAAACUUUUAGAUGAACACUCGAUGAAAAGAAAGUCAUCUUGCUCCUCGGUGUGACUGCAUGAAAAUCUACUGGGACAAGUUCACAUGAAUAACUGGCACAGAGGCAAGCAUGGAUCGUAAUUUUAUGUGUUCUUAAGUGGCUUAGCUUUUCUGGUGCAACUUUGUUUUGGGAUCAGUGCUCAGUAAUAUGUAUAGGUCUCUACAUUUGCUUGAAAAGCCUCAUGUUACAUUACUGAAACAACAGGCAAAAGACUCACUGACAAUAGCUUUAUUCAACCUUGCUGAAAAUGUUAAGUCCUGUAACAAUAAAGGCUUAACUGUUCUACAGGCUGGCCAACUGGUCUUUGCAUACUACAGGAAACAAUUGCAGGCAUUUAGCAUUUCAGGACAUAUAAGCCAGAACUACUCAGGGAUGCAGGAUGUGAAUAUAUACCCCUGGUGCUUCCACGCUGUUUGUGGAAUGGCAGAAAAGCACAUUCCAUUAGUCCAUGUUGGCAACCUCAUCUUGGAAAAUUACAUAUAUUGCAGAAAUUUCAGUUUUGUUUUCAUACAUUCAGGUGAGACUGAUGAGAUUGUUUCACAUACUGUUUAUUUGCACCUGUAGUCAUUUGGGAUUCCUGAAUGGCUCAUGCUUGUAAAUUUUGUACUUAAAGAUGGUGUAAAAUAAAUCAUAACCUGGACAGG
rnacentral:lncRNA from 7 species